UACGUAGGGUGCGAGCGUUAAUCGGAAUUACUGGGCGUAAAGCGUGCGCAGGCGGUUGUGUAAGACAGGUGUGAAAUCCCCGGGCUUAACCUGGGAACUGCGCUUGUGACUGCACAGCUAGAGUAUGGCAGAGGGGGGUGGAAGUUCCACGUGAUAGCAGUGAAAUGACGUGAGAGAUGUGGAGGAACACCGAUGGCGCAAGGCAGCCC
rnacentral:rRNA from 1 species